AUUGAACGCUGGCGGCAGGCCUAACACAUGCAAGUCGAGCGGUAACACAGGGAGCUUGCUCCUGGGUGACGAGCGGCGGACGGGUGAGUAAUGUCUGGGAAACUGCCUGAUGGAGGGGGAUAACUACUGGAAACGGUAGCUAAUACCGCAUAACGUCGCAAGACCAAAGAGGGGGACCUUCGGGCCUCUUGCCAUCAGAUGUGCCCAGAUGGGAUUAGCUAGUAGGUGGGGUAACGGCUCACCUAGGCGACGAUCCCUAGCUGGUCUGAGAGGAUGAACAGCCACACUGGCACUGAGACACGGUCCAGACUCCUACGGGAGGCAGCAGUGGGGAAUAUUGCACAAUGGGCGCAAGCCUGAUGCAGCCAUGCCGCGUGUAUGAAGAAGGCCUUCGGGUUGUAAAGUACUUUCAGCGGGGAGGAAGGUGCUGAGGUUAAUAACCUCAGCAAUUGACGUUACCCGCAGAAGAAGCACCGGCUAACUCCGUGCCAGCCGCCGCCGUAA
rnacentral:rRNA from 1 species